rnacentral:rRNA from 1 species
GUUUGAUCCUGGCUCAGAUUGAACGCUGGCGGCAUGCUUUACACAUGCAAGUCGAACGGCAGCGGGGGCUUCGGCCUGCCGGCGAGUGGCGAACGGGUGAGUAAUGCAUCGGAACGUGCCCAUGUCGUGGGGGAUAACGUAGCGAAAGCUACGCUAAUACCGCAUACGCCCUGAGGGGGAAAGCGGGGGAUUCUUCGGAACCUCGCGCGAUUGGAGCGGCCGAUGUCGGAUUAGCUAGUAGGUGAGGUAAAGGCUCACCUAGGCGACGAUCCGUAGCGGGUCUGAGAGGAUGAUCCGCCACACUGGGACUGAGACACGGCCCAGACUCCUACGGGAGGCAGCAGUGGGGAAUUUUGGACAAUGGGCGCAAGCCUGAUCCAGCCAUGCCGCGUGAGUGAAGAAGGCCUCGGUGUAAG